CCUACGGGUGGCAGCAGUGGGGGAUAUUGCACAAUGGGGGGAACCCUGAUGCAGCGACGCCGCGUGGGUGAAGGAGUGCUUCGGCAUGUAAAGCCCUAUCGGCAGGGAAGAAGCAAGACGGUACCUGACUAAGAAGCCCUGGCUAACUACGUGCCAGCAGCCGCGGUAAUACGUAGGGGGCGAGCGUUAUCCGGAUUCACUGGGUGUAAAGGGCGCGUAGACGGCCAUGCAAGCCAGGGGUGAAAGCCCGGGGCCAAACCCCGGGACUGCCCUUGGAACUGUGCGGCUAGAGUGCGGGAGGGGAAGGCGGAAGUCCUGGUGUAGCGGUGAAAUGCGUAGAGAUCAGGAGGAACACCGGCGGCGAAGGCGGCCUGCUGGACCGCGACUGACGUUGAGGCUCGAAAGCGUGGGGAGCGAACAGGAUUAGAUACCCGAGUAGUC
rnacentral:rRNA from 1 species